rnacentral:rRNA from 1 species
GGGGAAUCUUCCGCAAUGGGCGAAAGCCUGACGGAGCAACGCCGCGUGAGUGAAGACGGCCUUCGGGUUGUAAAGCUCUGUUAUACGGGACGAAUAAUCUUGUGGUUAAUACCCAUGAGAAGUGACGGUACCGUAAGAGAAAGCCACGGCUAACUACGUGCCAGCAGCCGCGGUAAUACGUAGGUGGCAAGCGUUGUCCGGAAUUAUUGGGCGUAAAGGGCGCGCAGGCGGCUUCUUAAGUCUGUCUUAAAAGUGCGGGGCUUAACCCCGUGAUGGGAUGGAAACUGGGAAGCUCAAAGUAUCGGAGAGGAAAGCGGAAUUCCUAGUGUAGCGGUGAAAUGCGUAGAUAUUAGGAGGAACACCAGUGGCGAAAGCGGCUUUCUGGACGAAAACUGACGCUGAGGCGCGAAAGCCAGGGGAGCGAACGGGAUUAGAUACCCCGGUAGUCCUGGCCGUAAACGAUGGGUACUAGGUGUAGGAGGUAUCGACCCCUUCUGUGCCGGAGUUAACGCAAUAAGUACCCCGCCUGGGGAGUACGGCCGCAAGGUUG